UCCAUGUAGCCUUGGUUCUCCUGGAAUUGCUCUGUAGACCAGGCUGGCCUCGAACUCACAGAGAUCCUCUGUCUCCCGAGUGCUGCCUCCGCAUUCACCACCACGACUCGUUUACUGAUUUUCCGUGGUAGAAAGAUCACCAUCAUGAUGGAUAUCCAGGCAGCACUCGCUGAGGAAUCGCAGACUCUUGUUCGCGGAAGGUCUGUCAGAACCGGAAGCUUCUUCUCGGGUCCUGUUAAUUCACCCUGUGACCGUGAGGUAUCAGACGUUGAAGCCAUCUCCUCUCACAUCCAUCAGCGUGCAGGAACCCGUCACUCAUCCAUCAGUGAGCAGGAGCACGUCACACAUCC